rnacentral:rRNA from 1 species
UCAGUGUGUGUGUUAGUGGAAGCGUCUGGAAAGGCGUGCGAUACAGGGUGACAGCCCCGUACACAAAAAUGCACAUAUUGUGAGCUUGAUGAGUAGGGCGGGACACGUGGUAUCCUGUCUGAAUAUGGGGGGACCAUCCUCCAAGGCUAAAUACUCCUGACUGACCGAUAGUGAACCAGUACCGUGAGGGAAAGGCGAAAAGAACCCCGGCGAGGGGAGUGAAAAAGAACCUGAAACCGUGUACGUACAAGCAGUGGGAGCACGCUUAGGCGUGUGACUGCGUACCUUUUGUAUAAUGGGUCAGCGACUUAUAUUCUGUAGCAAGGUUAACCGAAUAGGGGAGCCGAAGGGAAACCGAGUCUUAACUGGGCGUUAAGUUGCAGGGUAUAGACCCGAAACCCGGUGAUCUAGCCAUGGGCAGGUUGAAGGUUGGGUAACACUAACUGGAGGACCGAACCGACUAAUGUUGAAAAAUUAGCGGAUGACUUGUGGCUGGGGGUGAAAGGCCAAUCAAACCGGGAGAUAGCUGGUUCUCCCCGAAAGCUAUUUAGGUAGCGCCUCGUGAAUUCAUCUCCGGGGGUAGAGCACUGUUUCGGCA